rnacentral:rRNA from 1 species
CCCCGCCUGGGGAGUACGGCCGCAAGGCUAAAACUCAAAGGAAUUGACGGGGGCCCGCACAAGCGGCGGAGCAUGCGGAUUAAUUCGAUGCAACGCGAAGAACCUUACCAAGGCUUGACAUAUACGAGAACACUGUAGAGAUACAGGACUCUUUGGACACUCGUAAACAGGUGGUGCAUGGUUGUCGUCAGCUCGUGUCGUGAGAUGUUCGGUUAAGUCCGGCAACGAGCGCAACCCUCGUCCUAUGUUGCCAGCACGUAAUGGUGGGAACUCAUGGGAUACUGCCGUGGUCAACACGGAGGAAGGUGGGGAUGACGUCAAAUCAUCAUGCCCCUUAUGUCUUGGGCUUCACGCAUGCUACAAUGGCCGAUACAAAGGGCUGCGAUACCGCGAGGUGGAGCGAAUCCCAAAAAGUCGGUCUCAGUUCGGAUUGGGGUCUGCAACUCGACCCCAUGAAGUCGGAGUCGCUAGUAAUCGCAGAUCAGCAACGCUGCGGUGAAUACGUUCCCGGGCCUUGUACA